UAGCCCCUGGCGGACUCGAACCACCAAUCUCAAGAUUCACUUGUUAUAGUAGAAGCUAAUUAUUGUUAGUCGGUUGAAUCGAAUACUGAUCCAUCAUCAUGGAGUGAUACUCACUCUUGCGCCUUAGCCAUGGCCAAGGGGGCC